GCAUGGUUGUCGUCAGCUCGUGUCGUGAGAUGUUGGGUUAAGUUCCCGCAACGAGCGCAACCCCUAUUGUUAGUUGCCAUCAUUCAGUUGGGCACUCUAGCGAGACUGCCGGUAAUAAACCGGAGGAAGGUGGGGAUGACGUCAAAUCAUCAUGCCCCUUAUGACCUGGGCUACACACGUGCUACAAUGGUUGGUACAACGAGUUGCGAGUCGGUGACGGCGAGCUAAUCUCUUAAAGCCAAUCUCAGUUCGGAUUGUAGGCUGCAACUCGCCUACAUGAAGUCGGAAUCGCUAGUAAUCGCGGAUCAGCACGCCGCGGUGAAUACGUUCCCGGGCCUU
rnacentral:rRNA from 1 species